rnacentral:rRNA from 1 species
UACUCGAGUGGCGAACGGGUGAGUAACACGUGGGUGAUCUGCCCUGCACUUCGGGAUAAGCUUGGGAAACUGGGUCUAAUACCGGAUAGGAACCAUCUUUAGUGUGGUGGUUGGAAAGUUUUUUCGGUGUAGGAUGAGCUCGCGGCCUAUCAGCUUGUUGGUGGGGUAAUGGCCUGCCAAGGCGGCGACGGGUAGCCGGCCUGAGAGGGUGUACGGCCACAUUGGGACUGAGAUACGGCCCAG